UUUCCUACGGGAGGCAGCAGUCGGGAAUUUUGGGCAAUGGGCGAAAGCCUGACCCAGCAACGCCGCGUGAAGGAUGAAAUCCCUCGGGAUGUAAACUUCGCAAGAACGGGAAGAAUAAGUCGGUGUUAACACCACCGAUGAUGACGGUACUGUUUGUAAGCUCCGGCUAACUCCGUGCCAGCAGCCGCGGUAAUACGGGGGGAGCAAGCGUUGUUCGGAUUUACUGGGCGUAAAGGGCGCGUAGGCGGCCACCGCAAGUCGACUGUGAAAUCUCCGGGCUUAACCCGGAACGGUCAGCCGAUACUGCGGGGCUAGAGUGCAGAAGGGGCAACUGGAAUUCUCGGUGUAGCGGUGAAAUGCGUAGAUAUCGAGAGGAACACCUGCGGCGAAGGCGGGUUGCUGGGCUGACACUGACGCUGAGGCGCGAAAGCUAGGGGAGCGAACGGGAUUAGAUACCCCGGUAGUCCUAGCCUUAAACGAUGAAUGCUUGGUGUCUGGGGUUUUAUAGUCCCCGGGUGCCGUCGCUAACGCUUUAAGCAUUCCGCCUGGGGAGUACGGUCGCAAGACUGAAACUCAAAGGAAUUGACGGGGACCCGCACAAGCGGUGGAGCAUGUGGUUUAAUUCGACGCAACGCGAAGAACCUUACCUGGGCUAGAAUGCCUCUGACCGGCGUAGAGAUACGCCUUCCUGGGUAAAGCCAGGCAGAGUGCAAGGUGCUGCAUGGCUGUCGUCAGCUCGUGUCGUGAGAUGUUGGGUUAAGUCCCGCAACGAGCGCAACCCUUAUCAAUAGUUGCCAGCGGUUCGGCCGGGCACUCUAUUGAGACUGCCGUUGACAAAACGGAGGAAGGUGGGGAUGACGUCAAGUCCUCAUGGCCUUUAUGUCCAGGGCUACACACGUGCUACAAUGGCGAGUACAAAGCGCUGCAAACCUGCAAGGGGGAGCCAAUCGCAAAAAGCUCGUCUCAGUUCGGAUUGGAGUCUGCAACUCGACUCCAUGAAGCUGGAAUCGCUAGUAAUCGCAGAUGAGCAUGCUGCGGUGAAUACGUUCCCGGGCCUUGUACACACCGCCA
rnacentral:rRNA from 1 species